rnacentral:rRNA from 1 species
AUUGAACGCUGGCGGCAGGCUUAACACAUGCAAGUCGAGCGGAGAGAGGUAGCUUGCUACUGAUCUUAGCGGCGGACGGGUGAGUAAUACUUAGGAAUCUGCCUAUUAGUGGGGGACAACAUCUCGAAAGGGAUGCUAAUACCGCAUACGUCCUACGGGGGAAAGCAGGGGAUCUUCGGACCUCGCGCUAAUAGAUGAGCCUAAGUCGGAUUAGCUAGUUGGUGGGGUAAAGGCCUACCAAGGCGACGAUCUGUAGCGGGUCUGAGAGGAUGAUCCGCCACACUGGGACUGAGACACGGCCCAGACUCCUACGGGAGGCAGCAGUGGGGAAUAUUGGACAAUGGGCGGAAGCCUGAUCCAGCCAUGCCGCGUGUGUGAAGAAGGCCUUUUGGUUGUAAAGCACUUUAAGCGAGGAGGAGGCUACCUGGAUUAAUACUCUAGGAUAGUGGACGUUACUCGCAGAAUAAGCACCGGCUAACUCUGUGCCAGCAGCCGCCGUAAGAC